GAUGAACGCUGGCGGCGUGCCUAAUACAUGCAAGUCGAGCGAACAGAUGAGGAGCUUGCUCCUCUGACGUUAGCGGCGGACGGGUGAGUAACACGUGGAUAACCUACCUAUAAGACUGGGAUAACUUCGGGAAACCGGAGCUAAUACCGGAUAAUAUAUUGAACCGCAUGGUUCAAUAGUGAAAGACGGUUUUGCUGUCACUUAUAGAUGGAUCCGCGCCGCAUUAGCUAGUUGGUAAGGUAACGGCUUACCAAGGCAACGAUGCGUAGCCGACCUGAGAGGGUGAUCGGCCACACUGGAGCUGAGACACGGUCCAGACUCCUACGGGAGGCAGCAGUAGGGAAUCUUCCGCAAGGGGCGAAAGCGUGACGGAGCAACGCCGCGUGAGUGAUGAAGGUCUUCGGAUCGUAAAACUCUGUUAUUAGGGAGAACAAAUGUGUAAGUAACUAUGCACGUCUUGACGGUACCUAAUCAGAAAGCAACGGCUAACUACGU
rnacentral:rRNA from 1 species